rnacentral:lncRNA from 1 species
CUCUACCAAAAACCUCCUAAAAUAUCCUAAAACAAUCAAGGAAAACAUGCAAAGGAAGGCUGGACAUGGCACUUUCGGCGGCAGGUUUGGCGGCCGAAAGUCCCUUCCAGAGCCGAAACUCAAGCACUUUCGGCGGCACUUCGGCUGCCGAAAGUCCUCUCCAGGGACGAAAGUCCCUAACCUUCGGCGGCCGAAACCCCCCUCCAGAGCCGAAAGUCUAAACUUUCGGAGGCAAGCUUAGGCAGCCGAAACCA